UCGCUGGUGUUGGAAGUGCAUGCUCCUAUUGGGUGUGUUCAGUGGGAAGGCAAUGCCUCACUCGGUCCUGUAAUGGUUAAAGAGCGACAGAAGACUUUAGCUGGACUUCAGUAAAUGAGAGAACCUAUUACUGGCUUUCAAUAAAUGGAAAACCCUA